rnacentral:rRNA from 1 species
GACGAACGCUGGCGGCGUGCUUAACACAUGCAAGUCGAGCGGUAAGGCCCUUUCGGGGGUACACGAGCGGCGAACGGGUGAGUAACACGUGGGUGACCUGCCCUCAGCUCUGGGAUAAGCCUGGGAAACUGGGUCUAAUACUGGAUAUGACUCCACGGUGCAUGUCGUGGGGUGGAAAGCCUUGUGCGGCUGAGGAUGGGCCCGCGGCCUAUCAGCUUGUUGGUGGGGGUGAGGCCUACCAAGGCGACGACGGGUAGCCGGCCUGAGAGGGCGACCGGCCACACUGGGACUGAGACACGGCCCAGACUCCUACGGGAGGCAGCAGUGGGGAAUCUUGCGCAAUGGGCGAAAGCCUGACGCAGCGACGCCGCGUGAGGGAUGACGGCCUGG